GGAGUUAGAAGCUUAUUUCAAGCUUUGAAUUUUUAAUUCAAAGACAGAGGAUUUCCUCUUAACUCCA
rnacentral:tRNA from 1 species